GACGAACGCUGGCGGCGUGCUUAACACAUGCAAGUCGAACGAUGAAGCUGGAGCUAGCUCCGGUGGGUUAGUGGCGAACGGGUGAGUAACACGUGAGCAAUCUGCCCUUGACUCUGGGAUAACUGCGGGAAACUGUAGCUAAUACCGGAUACGAGGCUCGAAGACAUCUUCGGGUCUGGAAAGAAUUUCAGUCAAGGAUGAGCUCGCGGCCUAUCAGCUUGUUGGUGAGGUAAUGGCUCACCAAGGCGACGACGGGUAGCCGGCCUGAGAGGGUGACCGGCCACACUGGGACUGAGACACGGCCCAGACUCCUACGGGAGGCAGCAGUGGGGAAUAUUGCACAAUGGGCGAAAGCCUGAUGCAGCAACGCCGCGUGAGGGAUGAAGGCCUUCGGGUUGUAAACCUCUUUUAGCAGGGAAGAAGCGAAAGUGACGGUACCUGCAGAAAAAGCACCGGCUAACUACGUGCCAGCCGCCGCCGUAA
rnacentral:rRNA from 1 species